UACGGGGGGGGCAAGCGUUGUCCGGAAUUAUUGGGCGUAAAGAGCUCGUAGGUGGUUUGUCGCGUUGUUCGUGAAAACUCACAGCUUAACUGUGGGCGUGCGGGCGAUACGGGCAGACUGGAGUACUGCAGGGGAGACUGGAAUUCCUGGUGUAGCGGUGGAAUGCGCAGAUAUCAGGAGGAACACCGGUGGCGAAGGCGGGUCUCUGGGCAGUAACUGACGCUGAGGAGCGAAAGCGUGGGGAGCGAACAGG
rnacentral:rRNA from 1 species